AUUGCACGCUGGCGGCAGGCCUAACACAUGCAAGUCGAACGAGUGGCGGACGGGUGUGUCAUGUCUGGGAAACUGCCCGCUGGAGGGGGAUAACUACUGGAAACGGUAGCUAAUACCGCAUACCAUCGGAUGUGCCCGGAUGGGAUUAGCUAGUAGGUGGGGUAACGGCUCACCUAGGCUACGACCCCUAGCUGGUCUGAGCGGAGGACCAGCCACAAGGUAACUGAGACACGGUCCAGACUCCUACGGUAGGCAGCAGUGGGGAAUAUUGCACAAUGGGCUCAAGCCUGAGGCAGCCAUGCCGCGUGUAUGAAGAAGGCCUUCGGGUUGUAAAGUACUUUCAGCGAGGAGGCGUUACUCGCAGAAGAAGCACCGGCUAACUCCGUGCCAGCAGCCGCGGUAAUUC
rnacentral:rRNA from 1 species